UGAGACCUCGGGCUACAACACGGGACUCGGGUGCUGCUCUGACCCCUCGUGUCUUGUGUUGCAGCCGGAGGGACGCAG